rnacentral:lncRNA from 1 species
ACCUUAAUGUUGGCUGAAUGGAAAAAGUUCAGUUUAGGAUUUAAAACCCUAAUACUGAUUGCAUGGAAAAGCUCAGUUUAGGGUUUAAAACCCUAAUGCUGGCCGAAUGGAAAAAGUUCAGUUUAGGAUUUAAAACCCUAAUGCUGAUUGCAUGGAAAAGCUCAGUUUAGGGUUUAAAACCCUAAUGCUGACUAAAGGAAAAGUUCAGUUUAGGAUUUAAAACCCUAAUGCUGACUAAAGGAAAAGUUCAGUUUAGGGUUUAAAACCCUAAUGCUGACUGAAGGGAAAAUUCAGUUUAGGGUUUAAAACCCUAAUGCUGAUUGCAUGGAAAAGUUCAGUUUAGGGUUUAAAACCCUAAUGCUGACUAAAGGAAAAGUUCAGUUUAGGGUUUAAAACCCUAAUGCUGACUAACAGGAAAAAUUCAGUUUAGGGUUUAAAACCCUAAUGCUGACUAAAUGGAAAAAGUUCAUCUUAGGGUUUAAAACCCUAAUGCUGACUGAAUGGAAAAAGUUUAGUUUAGGGUUUAAAACCCUAAUGCUGACUAAAGGGAAAAGUUCAGUUUAGGGUUUAAAACCCUAAUGCUGACCGAAAGGAAAAAGUUCAGUUUAGGGUUUAAAACCCUAAUGCUGUCUGAAUGGAAAAAGUUCAGUUUAGGGUUUAAAACCCUAAUGCUGACUACAUGGAAAAGCUCAGUUUAGGGUUUAAAACCCUAAUGCUGGCUGAAUGAAAAAAGUUCAGUUUAGGGUUUAAAACCCUAAUGCUGACUAAAGGGAAAAUUCAGUUUAGGGUUUAAAACCCUAAUGCUAAUUGCAUGGAAAAACUCAGUUUAGGGUUUAAAACCCUAAUGCUGGCUGAAUGGAAAAAGUUCAGUUUAGGGUUUUAAAACCCUAAUGCUGACUAAAAGGAAAAUUCAGUUUAGGGUUUAAAACCCUAAUGCUGAUUGCAUGGAAAAGCUCAGUUUAGGGCUUAAAACCCUAAUGCUGGCUGAAUGGAAAAAGCUCAGUUUAGGGU